rnacentral:lncRNA from 1 species
AUGUAAUAAGAAAACUUUCAUGACCCUUACCAGUAAACUGUGUCUAAAUGGAAAGUUCUAGAAACUUAUACUUGCUGUUGUGAAUAUCUGUUACAAACCUAGAUGUUCUAGACAAGUUCAGUUGAUUUGAUUGUACUGUGAUCUUUGGCUGCUAUUGGAGAGUAGCAAAUGGAGCAUGAAGCAAACAGAACUCUAGGAGGGAAAGCACAUGGAGAUGGCUAUGUCUGUGAUGCAGGGAAAGCUGUUUGGGGAGCAUGUGAGAAAAGAAAGGGGGAUUUUGAUGUGUUAUUAAGGAGAAGGCACUUGUGUGAAAAAAACUGUGUUGAUUUCUUCUGUCAUGUGCUUGAGAAGAUUUAAGACCUGCUAUAUCUGAUUUCCAGGUGAUAAAAGAAGCUGUGGAGAUGCAUUGGUGUGGUUCUGGGGGGAAAUACACAGAGAACUGUGGCUUGGAGUAGGGUAGAGAGAAGAAUAGUGUCAUCAUACCCCUUUUGGAAGCUGUCUCAAAAAUUAACUAUAUCAAGGAUGAUAUCUGGAGCUGUGUGAAGUCCAUCAGAGCCAAGCAUGAAAAAGCAUUUAAGCAGCAUGAAAAAUCAAGAUUCCAGUUUUCUUCUGAUAGUCCUA